GACGAACGCUGGCGGCGUGCUUAACACAUGCAAGUCGAACGAUGAAGCCUAGCUUGCUGGGUGGAUUAGUGGCGAACGGGUGAGUAACACGUGAGUAACCUGCCCCUUACUCUGGGAUAAGCGCUGGAAACGGCGUCUAAUACUGGAUAUUACCUUUCAUCGCAUGAUGUUUGGUGGAAAGAUUUUUCGGUUUGGGAUGGACUCGCGGCCUAUCAGCUUGAUGGUGAGGUAGUGGCUCACCAUGGCGACGACGGGUAGCCGGCCUGAGAGGGUGACCGGCCACACUGGGACUGAGACACGGCCCAGACUCCUACGGGAGGCAGCAGUGGGGAAUAUUGCACAAUGGGCGCAAGCCUGAUGCAGCAACGCCGCGUGAGGGAUGACGGCCUUCGGGUUGUAAACCUCUUUUAGUAGGGAAGAAGCGUAAGUGACGGUACCUACAGAAAAAGCACCGGCUAACUACGUG
rnacentral:rRNA from 1 species